rnacentral:rRNA from 1 species
GACGAACGCUGGCGGCGUGCCUAACACAUGCAAGUGGAGCGACGAACCAGGCUUCGGCCUGGGGCAAAGCCGCGAACGGGUGAGUAACACGUGGGUAACCUGCCCCGAUGAUUGGGACAACCCGAGGAAACUCGGGCUAAUACCGAAUGUGCCCUCCGACCGCAAGGUCACUGGGGAAAGGAAGCUUCGGCCUCCGCAUCGGGAUGGGCCCGCGGCCCAUUAGCUUGUUGGUGAGGUAACGGCUCACCAAGGCGACGAUGGGUAGCUGGUCUGAGAGGACGAUCAGCCACACUGGGACUGAGACACGGCCCAGACUCCUACGGGAGGCAGCAGUGGGGAAUCUUGCGCAAUGCGCGAAAGCGUGACGCAGCAACGCCGCGU